rnacentral:rRNA from 1 species
CCUACGGGAGGCAGUAGUGAGGAAUAUUGGUCAAUGGACGAGAGUCUGAACCAGCCAAGUAGCGUGAAGGAUGACUGCCCUAUGGGUUGUAAACUUCUUUUAUAAAGGAAUAAAACGAGGCACGUGUGCCUUUUUGCAUGUACUUUAUGAAUAAGGCUCGGCUAACUCCGUGCCAGCAGCCGCGGUAAUACGGAGGAUCCGAGCGUUAUCCGGAUUUAUUGGGUUUAAAGGGAGCGUAGAUGGGUUGUUAAGUCAGUUGUGAAAGUUUGCGGCUCAACCGUAAAUUUGCAAUUGAUACUGGCAGUCGUGAGUACAGUUGAGGUAGGCGGAAUUCGUGGUGUAGCGGUGAAAUGCUUAGAUAUCACGAAGAACCCCGAUUGCGAAGGCAGCUUACUAAACUGUGACUGACAUUGAUGCUCGAAAGUGUGGGUAUCAAACAGGAUUAGAUACCCGAGUAGUC